UGGGUAAUAUUGCACAAUGGAGGGAACUCUGAUGCAGCGACGCCGCGUGAACGAAGAAGGCUUUCGAGUCGUAAAGUUCUUUUAUAUGGGAAGAUAAUGACGGUACCACAAGAAAAAGCCCCGGCUAACUACGUGCCAGCAGCCGCGGUAAUACGUAGGGGGCUAGCGUUGUCCGGAAUCACUGGGCGUAAAGCGCGCGCAGGUGGUUUAGAAAGUCUGAUGUGAAAGCCCACGGCUCAACCGUGGAGGGUCAUUGGAAACUAAUAAACUUGAGUGCAGGAGAGAAAAGUGGAAUUCCUAGUGUAGCGGUGAAAUGCGUAGAGAUUAGGAGGAACACCGGUGGCGAAAGCGGCUUUUUGGCCUGCAACUGACACUGAGGCGCGAAAGCGUGGGGAGCAAACAGG
rnacentral:rRNA from 1 species